rnacentral:misc_RNA from 1 species
GAAAGGUGGGUUCUUCUUUUUCGGAUUUCUUGCUUUCUUAGGCUUGUUGAAGGACCAGGAAGAGGAAGGACCCUACCGGGACCAACGAAGAAGAUGAAGCAAACCAGAAUACAGAUACAUAGAAAUCAAAACAAAAUUGGAAGUCCAGGAUUUGUAACUGGUCUACCAUCGUUAAUCUCCAGGCAUGGCUUCGAGCAACCUCUAGUAGGACGAUAAUCUUCAAU